AAAUUGAAGAGUUUGGAUCAUGGCUCAGAUUGAACGCUGGCGGCGGUAUCUAACACAUGCAAAGUCGAACGGUAACAGGAAGCAGCUUGCUGCUUCGCUGACGAGUGGCGGACGGGUGAGUAAUGUCUGGAAACUGCCUGAUGGAGGGGAUAACUACUGGAAACGGUGGCUACCACCGCAUAACGUCGCAAGACCAAAGAGGGGGGACCUUCGCCUCUUGCCAUCAGAUGUGCCCAGAUGUGGAUUAGCUUGUUGGUGAGGUAACGGCUCACCAUGACGUGAUCCCUAGCUGGUCUGAGAGGACACCAGCCAUACUCGGAACUGAGACACGGUCCACCCUACUACGGAGUAUGUGCGUGGGGAAUAUUGCACACAAUGGCGCAAGCUUCCGAUGCAGCCAUGCCGCGUAUGAAGAAGCGCCCUGGGUUGUAAAAGUACUUUCAGCGGAGUGAAGGUGUUGUGGUUAAUAACCGCAGCAAUUGACGUUACCCGCAGAAGAAGCACCGGCUAACCUCGUGCCAGCAGCCGCGUGGUAAUACGGAGGGUGCGUUAAUCGGAAUUACUGGGCGUAAAGGCACGCAGGCGUCUGUCAAGUCGGAUGUGAAAUCCCGGGCUCAACCUCGGGAAACUGCAUUCGAAACCGGCAGGCUUGAGUCUUGUAGAGGUGUGGGUAGAAUUCCGGUGUAGCGGUGAAAUGCGUAGAGAUCUGGAGGAAUACCGGUGGCUAGUUGGGUACCCCGGACAAAGACUGACGCUCAGGUGCGAAAGCGUGGGAGCAACAGGAUUAGAUACCCCGGUAGUCCACGCCAAACGAUGUCUACUUGAGGUUGUGCCCUUGAGGCGUGGUUUUCCGGAGCUAACGCGUUAAGUAGACCGCCUGGGAGUACGGUGGCCGCAAGGUUAAAACUCAAAUGAAUUGACGGGGCCCGCACAAGCGGGUGGAGCAUGGUUUAAUUCGAUGCAACGCGUGAAGAACCUUACCGGUCUUGACAUCCACGGAAGUUUUGUGAGAUGAGAAUGUGCCUUCGGGAACCGUAGAGACAGGUGCUGCAUGGCUGUCGUCAGCUCGUGUUGUGAAAUGUUAGUUGUCCCGCAACGAGCGCAACCCCUUAUCCUUUGUUGCCAGCGAUUAGGUCGGGAACUCAAAGGAGACGCUGCCAGUGAUAAACUGGAGGAAGGUGGGAUGACGUCAGGGAAGUCAUCAUGGCCCUACGACCGUAUUACCACACGUGCUACAAUGGCGCAUAUAGAAGCGACCUCGCGAGAGCAAGCGGAUCCUCAUAAAGUGCGCGCGUCGUAGUCCAGUCCUUCGAAUCGCUAAUCGUGGAUCAGAAUGCCACGGUGAAUAAGCCGCUCCGGCCUUGUACACACCGCCCGUCACACCAUGGGAGUGGGGUUGCAAAAAGAAGUAGGUAGCUUUAACCUCGGGAGUGGCGCUUACCACUUCAGGACUAUGACCGGGGUGAAGUCGUAACAGGUAACCGUAGGGGAACCUGCGGUUGAUCACCUACCUU
rnacentral:rRNA from 1 species